AUGUUAGCAAUCUCCUAUUUCUGAAGAGGCUCAUAACUUGACGGUUACAACAGCUGAUAGCAUUCGAAAUGAACAGGUUGAUGAUGUACUUAUUUUAAAUUGGGAUUCCUCUGGAGUAAAAGACAGUUCGUCAGGACUUGAACUAACUCGGAAUAACUAUGAUCUCAACGUAGAAGUUCAAGAAGCAUGGGAUGUUCUUACCGAGCACCAACCAGAGCCAGGU